rnacentral:rRNA from 1 species
GGAAUUUUUGUCAAUGGGGGAAACCCUGAACAAGCAACGCCGCGUGAAGGACGAAGACCUUCGGGUUGUAAACUUCUGUCGGAGGGGACGAAAGCGGUCGAGGCUAAUAUCCUCGGCCGUUGACGGUACCCUACGAGGAAGCCCCGGCUAACUCCGUGCCAGCAGCCGCGGUAAUACGGGGGGGGCAAGCGUUGUUCGGAAUUACUGGGCGUAAAGGGCUCGUAGGCGGCCAACUAAGUCGGAUGUGAAAUCCCCAGGCUCAACCUGGGAACUGCAUCCGAUACUGGAUGGCUUGAAUCCGGGAGAGGGAUGCAGAAUUCCAGGUGUAGCGGUGAAAUGCGUAGAUAUCUGGAGGAAUACCGGUGGCGAAGGCGGCAUCCUGCACCGGCAUUGACGCUGAUGAGCGAAAGCCAGGGGAGCAAAC